UACGAAGGGGGCUAGCGGUGCUCGGAAUCCCUGGGCGUAAAGGGUGCGUAGGCGGGUUUUUAAGUCAGAGGUGAAAUCCUGGAGCUCAACUCCAGAACUGCCUUUGAUACUGAAAGUCUUGAGUAUGGGAGAGGUGAGUGGAACUGCGAGUGUAGAGGUGAAAUUCGUAGAUAUUCGCAAGAACACCAGUGGCGAAGGCGACACACUGGCCCAUUACUGACGCUGAGGCUCGAAAGCGUGGGGAGCAAACAGG
rnacentral:rRNA from 1 species